AUUAAGGGCCUUUUCAGUCCUAAAUCUAGAUGGUGCCUUAAGUUUGAUGACUAGGGUUUGAAUCUUGGCUUUGCCACUUCCUGCUUGUGUGACCUUGGACAGAUCAUUUAACUUCUCUGGGCCUCAGUUUGCUCGUCUAUAAAAUAAGUGAGUUAGUUUACCUCGCCUUGGAGAUCCCUUUUGACUCUGAUUUUAUUUGACUUUGAAGCACUUUCCUCACAACAGCCCCCAUUUUACAGAGAGAGCAAGCAGCUUAACCAAGGUCACCCAGCUACUGACCAUCUGCACUGAGAUCCCACUUGAGGUUUCUUCUGACUCUGAAUCAGCAGACUUUUCACUAGAUACUGUCACCAAUUAAGGACCCAAGGUUUUCUAGUUCAGCACCUUCGUUUUACAAAUCAGGAAACUGAAGCCCAGGGGGAAGCCACUUUCCCAGUCUGUUCCUGACAUUAGCACUGGGAUCCUGCUCCCAGUUCUUCUUCCUCCAAGGCCAGGAUUGCCUCUCCUCUCUGACCUCCACCUCUCAGGAUCCCUUCAGAAUUCAGCUGCCACCUUCUACAAGAAAUGACCAGGAAGAGAGGAAUCCUGGCUUGGUGGAGGGAUCCGUAAGGGAGUGCAAAUCAAUCUACGAAGACCGGUACUGCCUCUGCCUCCAGCUCACAGAGUGGACACGAACAUCUGGGAGCAAGGGAAGCGUCCUGAGGAAGCGCUAUCUGGGUUGAGCUUUAAGGAAGCUUGGGACCCCAAGAAGCAAAGAUGAAGAGAGCCAGGCCUGGGGCCAGCUUGUGAAAAGGGGAGAGACAGACAGGGAGCAAAACAGAAUGAGCCUGGAAGCGGGGUGGGGAGCAGGUGGAAAAGUGCUGGAAAAGCCAUCAGAAGACUCUGUGUUGGAGUCUAGAGACAGAAGAGCCUCGGCCCAGAUUCUGCCUCAUGUCUGCAUGAUCCGGGCAAGUGUCUAAGCCUCAUUUUCCUCAUCUGUAGAAUGGGCACAAUCAUAUCUGUGGUAUUAAGUCCGGCAGGGCCAUUGUGAGAACCAAGCGAGACCCAAAUGUGUAUCAUGUAUCUCCCCAUUUGUGCGGAUGUUGUCUUCCCCUUGGAAUACAAGCCCCCUGAGGACUGGGACUGUUUGGGCUUUUCCUUUGCCUCAUCAAGGGGAAGUCACUCAUCUCUCUGGGCCUCAGUGUCCUUGUCUGUGAGAAGGGGGCUUGGACUAGCAGACCUCUUAGAUCCUUUUGAGUCCCUAGUCAGUGGUCCUGUAUCCUGGGUCCCUACCAAGGGCCAAAGGAGUUAAUAUAGCUAACUGGACGGGGAUGUGACAGUUAUCAGAGCAAUGUCACCAAAGAGAAGUCGUAAAGAAGAUUUCAGUCCUGGCCCACACAAAUUGGGCCUUGUUCCCAAGUUAAGAUCUUCAUUUGUAGCUGGCAGAGCUGCAUGGCUGCAGUGUCGGCAUGCCGGGAGCUGACGGCGCCGCUUACACACAGCAGGGGAAAGGCAGGAAGUCAGGAGUGGGACGUGCCCUCGGAGGGCUGUGCAUCCCCAGGAGCUGAGGGCACAGAAGAGCCUCAAGCCCACAGCGCUGGGGAUUAAGGUGGGGAUUAAGGUGCGUCCUUGGGUCACUUUAUGCCGCAGCCUGAGGUGAUGGGUGUGGGGGGGGAGUGGGGGAUUCCUGAUCCCUUCUCCUUGAUCCAGCUAACAUUCUUAACAAAUGUCCAAGUGAAAGAACGAUAAGCAAAUCCACCAAUGGGAUUUCUCUACAUUUCUUUGCUAAAUCUUUGCUACUUAAUCCAAGACCUCUUCUCUUGAUUUUAAGUGUCAAUAUGUGAGUCUGCUGAGCUUGGACCACUCUGCAAAAUAAUAAGAGCAAUAAUGAAGCAUUU